rnacentral:rRNA from 1 species
CACUUCUAAGGAAGGCAGCAGGCGCGCAAAUUACCCAAUCCUGACUCAGGGAGGUAGUGACAAGAAAUGACAAUAAACCGGCAUCAGCCGGUUUAAUUGGAAUGAAUACAAUUUAAACAUCUUAACGAGGAACAAUUGGAGGGCAAGUCUGGUGCCAGCAGCCGCGGUAAUUCCAGCUCCAAUAGCGUAUACUAAAGUUGUUGCAGUUAAAAAGCUCGUAGUUGGAUUUCUGCGGGAGCGGGGCGGCACACCCACUAUGUGGGUUGUAGCUAGCACUUCUCCUGCAUCCUGCCGCGAACCGUGCUACCAUUAGUUUGGUGGCGCCGGGGAUCGGCUCGUUUACUUUGAGAAAAAUAGAGUGUUCAAAGCAGGCCACACGCCUUGAAUAAGUUAGCAUGGAAUAAUGAUUAAGGACUUCGGUUCUAUUUUGUUGGUGUUCGGGACUGAAGUAAUGAUUGAUAGGGACAGUUGGGGCGGUCUGUAUUCCAAAGCGAGAGGUGAAAUUCUUAGACCUUCGGAAGACAAACAGCUGCGAAAGCGUUCCGCAAGGAUGUUCCCUUUGAUCAAGAACGAAAGUUGGGGGAUCGAAGACGAUCAGAUACCGUCGUAGUCUCAACUAUAAACUAUACCAGCUAGGGAUCGGCCAACGUUUCUUUAUACCGACUUGGUCGGCACCUUAUGAGAAAUCAAAGCAUCUGGGUUCCGGGGGGAGUAUGGCCGCAAGGCUGAAACUUAAAGGAAUUGACGGAAGGGCACCACCAGCCGUGGAGCCUGUGGCUUAAUUUGACUCAACACGGGAAAACUUACCAGGUCCAGACAUAGUAAGGAUUGACAGAUUGAUAGCUCUUUCUUGAUUCUGUGGGUGGUGGUGCAUGGCCGUUCUUAGUUGGUGGAGUGAUUUGUCUGGUUAAUUCCGUUAACGGACGAGACCCCAGCCUGCUAAAUAGCGCGCAUGAGCUUUGCUCGUGGCGAGCUUCUUAGAGGGACUAUGAUGCGCGAUAGCACAUGGAAGUUUGGGGCAAUAACAGGUCUGUGAUGCCCUUAGAUGUUCUGGGCCGCACACGGGCUACACUGGCGCCUGCAACGAGCAUAUCAGCUGGCCCGAGAGGGUCUUGGCUAAUCUUUUGAACCGGCGCCGUGCUUGGGAUUGACCUUUGCAAUUGUUGGUCAUGCAACGAGGAAUGCCUUGUAAACGCGAGUCAUCAGCUCGCAUUGAAUACGUCCCUGCCCUUUGUACACACCGCCCGUCGCUCCUACCGAUGAAUGUUCCGAUGAAAUUUUCGGAGAGCACCUGUGAACUUGGCUCUGCCUUGCGAACGGGAGGCUCAAAGUCACUUAAAUCUGAACAUUUCG